GCUAGAGGAUGCAAGCUAUCCGAAAUGAUUGGGCGUAAAGCGUCUAUAGGUGGCUUUUCAAGUCCGCCGUCAAAUCCGAGGGCUCAACCCUGGACAGGUGGUGGAAACUACCAAGCUAGAGUGCGGUAGGGGCAUAGGGAAUUUCCGGUGGAGCGGUGAAAUGCAUUGAGAUCGGAAAGAACACCAACGACGAAAGCACUCUGCUGGGACGACACUGACACUGAGAGACGAAAGCUAGGGGAGCAAAUGGG
rnacentral:rRNA from 1 species